AGAAAAAGGAACAAGGCAGAUAUACAUGCCAGAGUACAGUGCUGAGACAACAUAAAGCACAACCAACCAAGUACAAAGUGAAUUAUACAGAAUCUUGUUUUCUUCUGUUUGGAUUUGAUACCGAACUAUACUAGAUUCACUGACAAGAAGAGUUUGAAUUAGCAGCAUGAUGAGAAUGGACACAGUGUUUGAAGAAACUGAUAAAGAAAGUACAGGAGGAGUUUUAUCUUUGGAAGAAGAAAUGGUCCUUGAGCACAGACACCAUAUGAGCUUUCCUUUCAGCAUUCUCUGCUCAACUGUUCUCUGCUGUGGUGAGGCAUACCUAUGCUUUGUGUAUGUUUGAAAUUAAUUGAAAAGCUAGUGACAGAUUCUGAUAUCAUUUGCUAUGAGCUUCGUUGUUGUGGAGGUAAUUUUGGAUCAAAUUACUCUAACGUUUUUCAACAAAGACGUGAGGAGAAAUAAAGCUGCAUUACUUUUUUUGGCACAUUCUUGCUUUAGGACCUAUAAUGAGGACCCACCCAAGAGUGGCCGUGGCUUUUGGACACCUGGGGUCGGGUCCACCAUGAGGAUAAAACCUCCUUCUCUUCUGGACAUGUCCAGGAGUGGCCGUUGCUACAAGACAUCUGGUGCUACGACCAGGGUGAGAAUAAGGACGUCUCCUCAGGACCCUCCCAGGAGAGUACAUGGCAUUGAGACAUCUGGCUGCCAAAGAGACCUGAGACAUCAAUCAAACACAUGUAAGAUGUACAUUGGUUUGGUCCAGGAAGGAUGGACAACUUGAAAAUAGUGAUGGUGUGGGGCUGGGCUUUCAAGUUACAGCAACAGAAUUUUCAAAGAUCUGCCUUUCUAGCCACCUUUCUGGCAGAAGAGAAAGAAUCCGAUGCCUUAAGCAAAGCAUUUAAUGUAUUUCAGUUACCACUCUAUGUAAAGUAUGUAUGUAAUUUUACUUUGAACAUCAGUAAAUAUGUUAAUACAUGCAACAAGACCAGAUUUUGAAAAUUAUAUAAAAUAUUAAGGUAGAAAUUAUUUAUUUUUUUGAAAUUAUUGAGUUCAGCUUGAGCAUCAACCUUUCAGAGUUUUCAGAAAUGUUGCUAAAACUUUGAAUCUUACCAGUGAACUCCAAAUAAAUGUAUCAAAGCCACUUAAUGUAAUGUUGCUAUUAAUAUAUAACAUGUUUUCACCUGAGGGCUUAACAAUUUGAGUGCUUUUUUUCCCCAACAAGCACUUUCUUAAAAAUAGCAAAUAAUGUUCAUGAAUUAUUUGAUGUCAUUAAGUAUGUGUGACGAAAGAGAAAUCUGA
rnacentral:lncRNA from 1 species